AAUCGAACCCGGAGAUAGCUGGUUCUCCUCGAAAUAGCUUUAGGGCUAGCCUCAUACAAGUCUGCCGGAGGUAGAGCACUGAAUUUCCGCGGGGGCGUCAAAGCCUACCAAAGAAUAUCAAACUCCGAAUGCCGGACAGAUGGUGUAUGGGAGUCAGACUGUACGAGAUAAGUUGGACAGUCAAAAGGGAAAGAGCCCAGACCGCCGGCUAAGGUCCCAAAGUGGGUGUUAAGUGGAAAAGGAUGUGGGAUCUCUAAGACAACCAGGAUGUUGGCUCAGAAGCAGCCAUUCAUUAAAAGAGUGCGUAACAGCUCACUGGUCGAGAGGUCCUGCGCCGAAAAUGUCCGGGGCUGAAACACCACACCGAAGCCGCGGAACCCGUAAGGGUUGGUAGAGGAGCAUUCUUAGGGGAGCGAAGCAUUACCGUAAGGGGAUGUGGACUGCUAAGAAGAGAGAAUGCCGGAAUGAGUAGCGAGAGCAAGGUGAGAAUCCUUGCGGCCGAAUAUCCAAGGUUUCCAGAGUAAAGCUGAUCUGCUCUGGGUAAGUCGGGGCCUAAGGAGAGGCAGAGAUGCGUAUCCGAUGGACAGCAGGUUUAAGAUUCCUGCACCCCUUGUUAUCAGAACUGCGGGGACACGGGAAGGGAAGCAGAGCCGGGAAUGGAAAGCCCGGUGCAAGCGAAGGAGUCGCAGGGUUGGAAAAUCCGCCCUGCAUGAGACGAAGGCGUGAUGCGGAGCGAAAUGAAGUAGUGAAGCUGCGGCCCCUUCCUGUCGAGAAAAGCCGCUAUCGUGUAGCAAGGGCCCGUACCGUAAACCGACACAGGUGGAUGAGGAGAGGAUCCUAAGGCCGGCGGGAGAAGUGUUGUUAAGGAACUCGGCAAAAUGACUCCGUAACUUCGGGAGAAGGAGUGCUGCGCAAGCAGCCGCAGAGAAAUGGCCCAAGCAACUGUUUAGCAAAAACACAGGUCUAUGCGAAACCGAAAGGUGAGGUAUAUGGGCUGACGCCUGCCCGGUGCUGGAAGGUUAAGGGGAGAGGUUAGCGCAAGCGAAGCUUUGAACUUAAGCCCCAGUAAACGGCGGCCGUAACUAUAACGGUCCUAAGGUAGCGAAAUUCCUUGUCGGGUAAGUUCCGACCCGCACGAAAGGCGUAAUGAUUUGGGCACUGUCUCAACAACACACCCGGUGAAAUUGAAAUACCAGUGAAGAUGCUGGUUACCCGCGCCAGGACGGAAAGACCCCAUGGAGCUUUACUCCAGCCUGAUACUGGGAUUCGGUAUUGCAUGUACAGGAUAGGUGGGAGGCUAAGAACUCAUGGCGCCAGCCGUGAGGGAGCCGAUGUUGGGAUACCACCCCUGCAGUACUGGGUUUCUAACCUGCGCCCGUGACCCGGGCGGGGGACAAUGUCAGGCGGGGAGUUUGACUGGGGCGGUCGCCUCCGAAAGGGUAUCGGAGGCGCUCAAAGGUUCCCUCAGAAUGGACGGAAACCAUUCGAAGAGUGCAAAGGCAGAAGGGAGCUUGACUGCGACACCGACGGGUGGAGCAGGUACGAAAGUAGGACUUAGUGAUCCGGUGGUAUAAAGUGGGAUUGCCAUCGCUCAACGGAUAAAAGCUACCCUGGGGAUAACAGGCUUAUCACUCCCAAGAGUUCACAUCGACGGAGUGGUUUGGCACCUCGAUGUCGGCUCAUCGCAUCCUGGAGCUGGAGCAGGUUCCAAGGGUUGGGCUGUUCGCCCAUUAAAGCGGUACGCGAGCUGGGUUCAGAACGUCGUGAGACAGUUCGGUCCCUAUCCGGCGCGGGCGCAGGAUAUCUGAGAGGAGCUGUCCUUAGUACGAGAGGACCGGGAUGGACCGUCCGCUGGUGGACCGGUUGUCAUGCCAAUGGCACGGCCGGGUAGCCAAGACGGGAAGGGAUAAACGCUGAAGGCAUCUAAGCGUGAAGCCCCCCUCAAGAUGAGAUAUCCAUACUCGAAAGAGUGAGAGACCCCUUAGAGACGAUGAGGUAGAUAGGGCAGAGAUGGAAGCACAGCGAUGUGUGGAGUUGACUGUUACUAAUCGGUCGAUAGCUUGACCU
rnacentral:rRNA from 1 species